AAAAAAACUAUCACUACAAGACCAAUAAGGUAUCUUGAUGUUGCACCACUUGCUGUACGCAUUUUAUCAAUUUAAAAAACCAAAACGUCCAAAAAUUUUUUUCACUACUCCAAAUUUUAAGCAGAUUUUCGUAUUCGAAUUUUUGGUUGAUGUAACUUCGAGUGGUGGUCACAGAGUUAUGAUCCACCAAUGCUCACUCCAGUGGCAGUAAACCUCCCGAACGUGAGCCACCGAUAACCACCGCCGCCGCCGCCGUGGCCACAGCCGUUCCAGCCGCACCAAAGUCGCUGAAGUCAUGCUAACCAGCAAUCGUUUUUUAGCGAACAAUUCUUCAGGCUUUAAUCCAAACGCAAGUCAUGACGUAACGCCUGCAGUGUGAGUCUGAGCUCUGGUUCAUCUGCGGGUAUUGGCGGGUUGGCCGGUGCUGUGUGCGGUUGGGUAGGAUAGUCAAACAACAUGUUGCAUUUUUUAUGUUCACAGACUUAGCAUUCCAUUUCCAUUUCCAAAAACAAAACAAAAAACAUGUGGGGAAUAACUAAUAACUCCAAAUGAAGACUUUGCAUGUGUUCCUAUUUGGCCGAGUUUAAGUCUAACUUUGCGAUUUAUAAUUAUUGUAUUGUUUUACCUUUGACUAUUAUGUAUCUCUGCAUGAAUUUUUAUUAUCUGUUGGCUUGAAUGAACAUUGACAGCAUGAAUUUAUACAAGACGACGACUACGAAGAUGAUGAUGAUGAUGAUGAUGAUGGGAACUCCUAAUAAAAUUUGUAUUUAUGGCGUAUUGAAUGACCAACAA